rnacentral:lncRNA from 1 species
GUCUGGUCUUUGAAGAUUGAAAUCAGGUUCAUAGUCAAUAUUGGUCUGGUAUUAUACCUUUGCUGGUCCGUGAAUAUUGGGAUCAAUUGCUUCUUUUUUUGUGCCUUGAUGAAGUGGUUGAAUAGUGUUUUCUUUGCCAGUUUCAUGUGGAGGAAUCCAUUCAGUAUUGGAAAAUUAAGAUGGCUGAAUAUAUUCUGGAAUUACUAUUUUCUUGCCAGGUGCUCACUACUUGUAAGUAUUUUCAAGGUCUAUACUAGGAUAUGUAGAUGGUCCUUGGGUCAUUUGACCAUCUUUGUUGCUAUUUUAGAAGAGCCUUAAAAGUAGCUAAUUUAUAUUCUCUCCAUCCAUAGUCACAUUAUAUUAUUGUUUGUAUAUACUUGAAAUUAUGUGGUAUUUGCCUCUAUAAUUUGUGUGUUGAUCAGCGGCACGCAGGCGGACUGAUCUGGUCUGAAAAUAUCCAUAAUGUUCUCCUUGUUGGGAUCCUAGUGAAGGCUUAUUAAGGUGAUUACACUAUUAGUUCAAUGCUUAUGAAAAUGCUAUGAUCAGAUACACAACUACUGAUUCUGACGGUAACAUAUCAGGCUAGCUAGGAGCAUAGAAAUUUUGGUCCUUGUCGCUACUAUUUUAGUGUCCCAUUCUAGAGGCUGGACCAUCUUACAACAUAUGCCUUUCUAAGGCUACCAAAUAAUAAAGCAAUUGAGCAUUCACAACUUUCUGAUUGCAGAGAUGGGCCACUAAGGUGCAAAAAACACCUGCACUUUUCUCCUUGCAUCAAACGUAUGACACCCAGUUUCCCUUUGAUGGAUAAAUAAAGUUAGCUGAUCAUGUAAAUAUCAUAUGAGGUAAGUAUAAUAGGGUUGGUGAUAUGGGAGGCAGAUUCAUUUGAGGCCUCCACCACAGCUUCUCUAGACCCUGCUUAAGAGCUAAUAGAAGCCUAUAUUCGGUCCUAAUGCUUAAACCAACAAACAGGUUCAUAUUAAAA